rnacentral:pre_miRNA from 1 species
UGGGACUGGGGGGGUGUGGGUUGACAGUGCUGAGGUCUCCCCAAGCCCCCGAGCUCUGCUGCCCCACAUCUCCCCCCCCCCA